CACGCUGACAGGAGCGACAUCGCGCCGAGUUUUCGAAGCCAGCCAAGGCAUGGCGGCGGCGCGCCGACCUGGCCACCGCGCGACCUCGGGAGGAAGUUGGAGUGGCGGGUGGCGGCGAUGCUGUCGGCACUGAGACCAGACGGCGAGUAGGGAGCAGCGACCUGGUUUUCCUAGAUUGCAUCUACACGAUUCUCGCCGUGUCGCCGUGGUCGCCGUCGCUUCAGGGCAUGUGGGUUACCUCCAAUGCAGCGGUCCUACAAUAGUCUCUAUCUCAGGUUGCAGACGAGCAAGGAAGCGGAUGCGGGCACGAUGACGGGCUCCAUCCACAAAGUCCCUGUCGACACCUUCACCAUCCUCCCCCCGUCCUGAGUUGCUGCUUACCCCAAAAUCUUCCCCGCCGGAUCUCUCCCCUGCCGUGAGAGCCCCCUGGCCGGCGGCCGUGGCAUCGGUCGGGUCCUCCUCUGUCUCUGAGGCUCUCCUGCCGUCCCGUGCUCUGGCUUCUCCCAUACAUCUCCUCACCUGGACGGCGGUCUGCGACCUGCUGGUUGGUUCGCUAUGUGGGGACUGGAUGGCCAGCAGCGCCGCCGCCUGCUCUGAGUCUGGGGGCGCGGCGUUUUGUCAUUGUGUGGACCACCCGGACGACGACCAGGAGUCCAGGAUGCAUACAACUCUGUCGGCGAGGUGGUGUGCGAAAGACCCAUGGCUGAACCGGUGGGUACAUGUAUCACUGCUAGGACAAUUCAGAUAAUUCGCGUAGCUAAUACUUACUGGGAUAACGAUGGUCAAAGCAUUGAGGCCCAGCGAGUGGCAGAGCUCCUCAUGUGCUAUUUUCCUUUACAAUGUUUUACUAUCAAUGUGUGGAGAAUAAUUAUUUAUA